AUUGAACGCUGGCGGCAUGCUUUACACAUGCAAGUCGAACGGCAGCGCGGGCCUCGGCCUGGCGGCGCGUGGCGCACGGGUGAGUAAUGCAUCGGAACGUGCCCAGCAGUGGGGGAUAGCACGGCGAAAGCAGGAUUAAUACCGCAUAAGACCUGCGGGUGAAAGCGGGGGACCGAAAGGCCUCGCGCUAUUGGAGCGGCCGAUGUCGGAUUAGCUAGUUGGUGGGGUAAAGGCUUACCAAGGCGACGAUCCGUAGCUGGUCUGAGAGGACGACCAGCCACACGGGGACUGAGACACGGCCCAGACUCCUACGGGAGGCAGCAGUGGGGAAUUGUGGACAAUGGGGGCAACCCUUAUCCAGCCAUGCCGCGUGCGGGAAGAAGGCCUUCGGGUUGUAAACCGCUUUUGUGCGGGAAGAAAUCCUCUGGGCUAAUACCCCGGGGGGAUGACGGUACCGGAAGAAGAAGCACCGGCUAACUACGUG
rnacentral:rRNA from 1 species